UAAGUCAAUAUAUUCUGCAACGCAUAUUAGAGGAUUAACAGAAAACCUAUAUGUCAAAAUACGCGUGAAUAUUCAGAAAUAGCUUAUUUUGAAAAAUGGAAUGGACUGCUGCGACCCUUCAUCCCGUAACUACAUACAUACCUUAUACCUCAUUCGAAAGCUUAUUUGUAGAAAACAAAAGUCAAUAUGUUCCGCAACGCCUAUUAGAGGAGUAACACAGACCCUUCGGCCCCUUUAUACACUACUUGAAAACUUAUAGAAAGAG
rnacentral:lncRNA from 1 species